GACGAACCGUGCGAACGUUAUUCGGAAUCACUGGGCUUAAAGCGCGUGUAGGCGGGCCGCCGCGUCGGCUGCUGAAAUCCCCCGGCUCAACCGGGGAACGGGCACCGAUACGGGCGGCCUCGAGGGGGGUAGGGGGGUCUGGAACUUCCGGUGGAGCGGUGAAAUGCGUUGAGAUCGGAAGGAACGCCCGUGGCGAAAGCGAGGCCCCGGACCAUUUCUGACGCUGAGACGCGAAAGCCAGGGGAGCGAACGGG
rnacentral:rRNA from 1 species